rnacentral:lncRNA from 1 species
GAUCAUCCUUGUAAUAACAUCAUUUCUAGUCUAGCAACAAUACAAACUAGCCUAUCAUGGCAAAACUCAAAGAAAAAAGAGAGGUUACAAAUAUAAUUCUUGACAUUUAGGUAGAAAGCUUGAAGGUGAUGCUUUCUUGAUUCUUAAUCUUGAUUCCAAAUUUCACUCAAUCCAAAACUAGCUCCAAGACCUUCAAUUACUCCCCAAUCUACUUAUCUAGGGCUUUCCAAUAUGCACAUCAUCACCCAACCCAAAACAAACAAAAACACCACAUGAGCAAUCCAAAUCCAUAAACCAGAAGUUAGUCCAAAGCAACACCAUCUUUCUAAUGGCGAUCUCCGGAAGCCAACUUGAAAGAGAUUGAACAAACAAACUAUUUUCGUGUAGUCAGGCGGGCCGGGAAGAGAGUAUGGAGUUAACGGCGGAGAUGGCAAACCUCGAAAUCUCAGC